UACGUAGGGGGCAAGCGUUGUCCGGAAUCAUUGGGCGUAAAGAGCGUGUAGGCGGCCCGGUAAGUCCGCUGUUAAAGUCCAGGGCUCAACCCUGGGAUGCCGGUGGAUACUGUCGGGCUCGAGUCCGGAAGAGGAGUGUGGAAUUCCUGGUGUAGCGGUGAAAUGCGCAGAUAUCAGCAGGAACACCAAUGGCGAAGGCAGCACUCUGGGACGUGACUGACGCUGAGACGCGAAAGCGUGGGGAGCAAACAGG
rnacentral:rRNA from 1 species